UACGGGGGGAGCAAGCGUUGUUCGGAAUUACUGGGCGUAAAGCGCACGUAGGCGGAUCGAUCAGUCAGGGGUGAAAUCCCAGGGCUCAACCCUGGAACUGCCUUUGAUACUGUCGAUCUGGAGUAUGGAAGAGGUGAGUGGAAUUCCGAGUGUAGAGGUGAAAUUCGUAGAUAUUCGGAGGAACACCAGUGGCGAAAGGCGGCUCACUGGUCCAUUACUGACGCUGAGGUGCGAAAGCGUGGGGAGCAAACAGG
rnacentral:rRNA from 1 species